GCGGUGGAGCAUGUGGUUUAAUUCGACGCAACGCGAAGAACCUUACCUGGGCUUGACAUCCCGGGAACUCUGUGGAAACACGGGGGUGCCCCUUCGGGGGAACCUGGUGACAGGUGCUGCAUGGCUGUCGUCAGCUCGUGUCGUGAGAUGUUGGGUUAAGUCCCGCAACGAGCGCAACCCUUGCCUUUAGUUGCCAUCAUUAAGUUGGGCACUCUAGAGGGACUGCCGGUGCUAAACCGGAGGAAGGUGGGGAUGACGUCAAGUCCUCAUGGCCCUUAUGCCCAGGGCUACACACGUGCUACAAUGGUCGGUACAAAGGGCAGCGAACUCGCGAGAGCAAGCAAAUCCCCAAAAGCCGAUCUCAGUUCGGAUCGAAGUCUGCAACUCGACUUCGUGAAGGUGGAAUCGCUAGUAAUCCCGGAUCAGCAUGCCGGGGUGAAUACGUUCCCGGGCCUUGUACACACCGCCCGUCACACCACGAAAGUUGGCUGUACCAGAAGUCGUUGGGCUAACCCGCAAGGGAGGCAGGCGCCCAAGGUAUGGUCAGUGAUUGGGGUGAAGUCGUAACAAGGUAGCCGUAGGGGAACCUGCGGCUGGAUCACCUCCUUUCUA
rnacentral:rRNA from 1 species